rnacentral:lncRNA from 1 species
UGUUUGUCACUCUAGAAAAUCUCCUCACUGCAAUCCAAGCAGUUAUAAUUGGCUCACAGAUUGACAACUUAUUCCUAUAAUAUUGAAUGGAAUCCUCAUAUAUAAAAUUGACACAGACAUUUUUCUUUUCACUGGAAUCAAGAAUAUCCCAAUAAAAGCCAUAGGCAUGCUGUGCUGUAUAAACUAAGCAAUGAGUUUGUGGGUAUGUGUGACACAGGAUCUAGAUAUAUUUUGGAAGUGUCUUGCCAGAAGUAAAAGUUCAUACAAUCUGUGAUGAUUCUGAAUACUAAUGGGUUUUCUUGGUAUUUUCAGAAAGAUAAAAUGUUUUUCAUUGAUCAAAGUAUAUAAAUGUCUUGAUAUUAUUUAGGCAAUGAAUAACUCAGGUUUCAUUUUUUGCUAUUUUUUUCUUUUCUUUUAUUGGAUAUUUUCUUUAUUUACAUUUCUUUUUUAAUUUUAUUUUUCUUGGAUAUUUUAUGUAUUUACAUUUCAGAUGUUGUCUCCUUCUCCACCCCUCUUCCAUUCCCCCUUCUCCCUUCCCCUGAUUCUAUGAGGAUGCAUCCACUCCCACCCACCCACUCCAGCAUCAAUGCCCUGGCAUUAUCCUACUUUGGGGAAAUGAGCCUUCAGAGGACCAAGGAUUUUUCCUCCUGUUGAUGGUGGACAAUGCCAUCCUCUGCUACAUAUGCAGCUGGAGCCAUGGGUGCCUCCAUGUGUACUCAUUGGUUGGUGGUUUAGUCCCUGGGAGCUCGGGCAUGGUGGGGUGGGGAUUAUGGUUGGUUGAUAUUGUUGUUCUUCCUAUGGUGUUGCAAACCCCUUCAGCCUUUUCUCUAACUACUCCAUUGGAGUCACCUAGUUCAGUCCAAUGGCUAGCUGCAAGCGUCCUCAUCUGUAUCAGUAGGGCUCUGGCAAAGUCUCUCAGGAGACACCCAGAUCUGACUCCUGUUAGCAAGCAGUUCUUGGUAUCAGCAAUAGAGAGAUCCUAGGUAGCUCAGUCAGUAGAGUAUCAGGUUUUAUUUUUUAUUCAGUUAAAACUUGAAUCUAAAAGAGUCACAAACAUCUUGAUCUUUGGAAGAGUUUUAAGAUUCUUUGUGUUAUUUGUGCUUACAAUCAAAUCUACAUUCUUACUAAGGUCUGUGUUAAAGCUAUGUGAGCACCUCUUCCCAGAUUGCUUUUGUUGUUAAUAUUUAUUUGUAAAUAAAAAGAUCAUCAAGAUUAUUUUGUCACCGGGCUUCUAAGACUCUGGAUAUAUUGAAUCUGUGGUUCUUCUCUUCAUCA